CCGAGUGCGGGCCCUCUGGGUCCAACCUCCCACCCGUGUUUAUCGUACCUUGUUGCUUCGGCGGGCCCGCCGCAAGGCCGCCCGGGGGGCUUCUGCCCCCCCGGGCCCGCGCCCGCCGGAGACACCUGUGAACGCUUUUGUGAAGAUUGCAGUCUGAGCGAUUAGCUAAAUCGGUUA
rnacentral:misc_RNA from 1 species